UAGAGUGGCGUACGGGUGAGUAACACGUGACUAACCUUCCUUCGAGUGGGGAAUAACCUCGGGAAACCAGGGCUAAUACCGCAUAACAUCACCGGGUGAAACUCCCGAUGAUCAAAGGGGUAAGACGCUUGAAGAGGGGGUCGCGGCUGAUUAGCUAGUUGGCGGGGUAAUGGCCCACCAAGGCGAAGAUCGGUAUCCGGCCUGAGAGGGCGCACGGACACACUGGAACUGAAACACGGUCCAG
rnacentral:rRNA from 1 species